AGUUAUGUCAUUUCGAUUAUAUGAGAGGCUUUGUUACAGUUGUUUUAAAUUACUAUUAAUACACUGUAGUGGAUGUUGUAAAUACUUAUAGGUUAUGUAUAUGUUCGAUGUACAUAGUUUUUAUUUUUGUUUUAAAAUGGUGAAGUGAAGAAAUAGAAAAAUAAACGGUGUAAAAGUAAUUUUAAUUUGGUAAAAUAUCAAUGUUUUAAUAAACGAAAAAAAAUCUCUUUAUUUUUGAUUCCUUAAGACCCAAAUAAGGCAUUAACUAUUUGUGAGAGAAAAUCUACCAAAACAGAUUACAAAAUGAAUGUUUCUUGCAUUGAGGUUCUAAAAAAGUCAUCAGUGUCAUCUUCCAUCUCAGUACGAAUUUCCUAUUAGUCUUAAGAAUCCAGAAAUAACAUAUCAAUGAAGAGUUUGGCAAUUACAAGCUUAAAAGAAGCAAGUACUUAGGUAUUUUCUUUGAAAAUUGAAGUCUUGACUUUUUCUCUAUGUCUAAAAAAUUGUAGUUUUCAAUGAUAAAUUGAGAAUUGUUCGAGAAGAGAAGUUGUAUAUUUAAAUUUAUUUGAAAGAUAUGUUAAAUGAGGCUAUUGAAAAUUACUUGAUAAUAUGCUUAAUUAACAUCAAACAGUGUAUUAUUCACGAAUGUAUAAUGGAGAUUAUUCAUGAGGUGAAGAUUACUGCCAAGGAUGUUUAUAAUGGAGAUUAUUCAUGAGGUGAAGAUUACUGCCACGAGGACUGCAAGUCCCGGAACAUCAUAGAUGUAAAUUUAGAAUUAAAAAUUCACAUUCGCAAAUUGUUCAGCAAACCAAACAAAUCUAGGUAUACAGUAGAUCAAUAAAGAAAAUGGAAUUAGAAAUGGAUGAUGAAUGGAAAGCUGCUCAAUGACGAAAGUAUAAAAAAAAUGAAAUAAGAAUCGUAUAAAAAUGUAGAAAUCGAUGCUAUGAUGAUUUUACUAAUUAGUAGUUAUUAAAAUGGACGAAAAUCUUACAAUUCAUUUCCAAUUGUAUACGAAAUCGAUCCACCGACUUUGUCCCCAUAAGCAAUAUAUCCAAAAAAUCCCAUACUGGUAUAUAACAAUACUAUGACUGCCAUACCAAUAUUCAAAACUCCCAGUGUACUUCCAAAGUAUUGUGGGGUUUUCAUUUCGUUUUCCAACGGCAUUAUCUGAAAAUAAAAAAAGUAAUCACUCAAAUAUUCAAUCAAUCGUAUAACGAAACUAAAACUGGGACUAAUUUUUCAAACAAUCUUCUGCUGCCUUGCUUUUGGAGUGUGAUGGACAGAAAACAACAUCCUGGCUAGAUAGAACAAGGGGAAACAUGAGUUCAGCUAUAGAAUUAGACGAGAAAACAUACAAAAAUUAGUUGAGAAUGGAUGAAGAAACAUUUGGACAAUAAAACAUAGGAUAACUGAGAAAUCCUUGGCGAGAUGUACUAUCAGCAGAUCGGAAGCUCAUUUCUCCCUAGAAUUGUUGUUGCAAGUGCGAGAUCUUGCAUGAAACAAUCAGCUGAACUUCAUGUGCGCAUGCUUUUAAUCCAGAAAUAUUGCGUCUUGCAAGACGAAGUGCAAGAAAUUACUUGCAAUUUCUUCCUAAAAGCCGCUUGACAUGGUGCAAGAUAACGUUCAAUCAAGUGUAAAAUAACGCAUAAAUAAAUAUUGAACGUCGCUUGACUUGUUCAAAUCUUUUGCGAUUGCGAUUGCGAGUGGCAUGACUGCCACUAACAAAAAUUCCAUUAGUAAUAGUAGACAAAUUCCUAACCUCAAAUUAUAUAACCGAUUUAAAAACGAGAAUAACGAAACUAAGGCCAGUGGCCUUGUUUUUAGAGCCUAUGGACAGGUUUGUUGUUAAAUCAAAAGUUUCUUUUCUCUAGAAAUGCAGCUUGCGCGCAAUAAAAAUGACACCAAUCAUAUAAUAUCGCAAGUGCAAGAUCUUGCGCAUGCUAGAAAUUUUGCGACUUGCAUUGCAUUGCACGUUGUAUUGCAUCAUGUCAAGCGGCGUUAAACGAUCCAUUAAACACAAGUAAGGAUUUCCUACGUUUGCUUUGCUAUUCCAAAACUGUACAACAGAUUGCAUCGAAUUUAACUUUUAUUACUUUUCAAAAUAAUAGGAAAAACCGCACGAAAUACUAUGAGACUUUUUUGGAUAUUUUCCAAUAAUUUCUGAAUAUAAAUAUAUAAUGAGGACCACAAAUCGAUUUUACUACUGUUAUCGUUUGUAACAGGAUCGGAUUGCAACGAUUUUUAAUUCGCUUUAUUUAACUGAGAAGUUAAUUGAAGAAGACAGAAAACAAUAUACUUCAUUUCAAUUAUAUUUUCAGCGGAGAGAUGUGGAAUAUUGAAAAAGGUGGAGGAAAAAGAAAUCCUGGCUCCCUAACAUAAGAGAAUGGACAAAUCUCAAUGUCGAAAAAUUGUUUUAUGUUAAAUCGUGGUCGCCAAAAUGAGAAGACUGCUUCAGAAGAAGAAGAAGAAGAAAGAGGUGUGUCUUCUUUGAAUUUACUGAGGUUCUAUAAUUACGGAUAUAAUAGCUGAUGUUGAAAGGCAAAUGGGCAAACUAUAGGCAGUAAAUGUUUUCAUCUAUUUCAUAUAGAAUUUUUUAUAAUAAAUUUUUUUCGAUAGUUUACUAUUGAAGCAUCUCCUCUUCAUUUUGGUUUUAUUGAUAGUAACAUUAAGAAACGUUUUAAUAAAAAUCGCUGUGUAAUAUUUUGAUUGUAAAUAAAAAACACUGAACCUAAGUCAAUUUAGCAAUAGAUCUUACAGUGACAUUUAUUACAGAAAUCACAUUUUUCUUAGUAAAAUAUACAUUUAUUUAAUAAAUGUAUCAUAUUUACUCACCACACCAAUUGCUUCUAAAGCAAAUAAAACUGUUCCGAAAUA